AGUGAACGCUGGCGGUAGGCCUAACACAUGCAAGUCGAACGGCAGCACAGUAAGAGCUUGCUCUUACGGGUGGCGAGUGGCGGACGUGUGAGGAAUACAUCGGAAUCUACUUUUUCGUGGGGGAUCACGUAGGGAAACUUACGCUUAUACCGCAUACGACCUACGGGUGAAAGCAGGGGAGCUUCGGACCUUGCGCGAUUGAAUGAGCCGAUGUCGGAUUAGCGAGUUGGCGGGGUAAAGGCCCACCAAGGCGACGAUCCGUAGCUGGUCUGAGAGGAUGAUCAGCCACACUGGAACUGAGACACGGUCCAGACUCCUACGGGAGGCAGCAGUGGGGAAUAUUGGACAAUGGGCGCAAGCCUGAUCCAGCCAUACCGCGUGGGUGAAGAAGGCCUUCGGGUUGUAAAGCCCUUUUGUUGGGAAAGAAAAGCAGCAGGUUAAUACCCCGCUGUUCUGACGGUACCCAAAGAAUAAGCACCGGCUAACUUCGUG
rnacentral:rRNA from 1 species